rnacentral:rRNA from 1 species
AUUGAACGCUGGCGGCAGGCCUAACACAUGCAAGUCGAACGCGUGGCGGACGGGUGAGGAAUGUCUGGGAAACUGCCCGAUAGCGGGGGAUCACUACGGGAAACCGUUGCUAAUACCGCAUUACAUCGGCUGUGCCCAGAUGGGGUUGGCUGGUGGGUGGGGUAACGGCUCACCUAGGCGACGAUCCCUAGCCGGUCUGAGAGGUUGACCAGCCACACUGGAACUGAGACACGGUCCAGACUCCUACGGGAGGCAGCAGUGGGGAAUAUUGCACAAUGGGCGCAAGCCUGAUGCAGCCACGCCGCGUGUAUGAAGAAGGCCUUCGGGUUGUAAAGUACUGUCAGCGAGGAGGCGUUACUCACAGAGGAAGCACCGGCUAACUCCGUGCCAGCAGCCGCGGUAAUAC